AAAGAAAUCAUUUGGGGCGGUGCAUUAUUUUGGGACGGUUAAAGUAUUUGGGGAUGUGGGCCGCAUUCUUCUGGGACGGUUAUACCUUUUGAGACGAAGGGUUUAUCUUCUCAAUCUCUCUGCCACGAACGACAAUAAUCUUCGCUGAGAUCCUCCUCCUUCCCAAAUUAGACUAGAUCAGAGCUCCUUUGUCUUCCGAAGCAUCUUCCAAAGGCGCCGCAUUUGGAUUACAACAGUGAUUUUCCAUUCUUCCCGGCACACCUCGGCGAAUUUCUGUCGUCCAGCGUAAAGAAACACUGUUACUCCCAAAACCAUAGCCACAGUCCACUUGAUUGAGUUAGCUGUAUCUUCUCAAAUCUUCAGCUUUAAAUUCAUUCAACAACCCAUAUAAGUUAAAAAUUGAAGAAUUAUAGUUUCGUCAACUCUUCAUUCUUAUCACCAAUUUAA